GGCAGCGACACUGUGUGUUGUUGGGUAGGGGAGCGUUCUGUAAGCCUGUGAAGGUGGCCUGUGAGGGUUGCUGGAGGUAUCAGAAGUGCGAAUGCUGACAUAAGUAACGAUAAAGCGGGUGAAAAGCCCGCUCGCCGGAAGACCAAGGGUUCCUGUCCAACGUUAAUCGGGGCAGGGUGAGUCGACCCCUAAGGCGAGGCCGAAAGGCGUAGUCGAUGGGAAACGGGUUAAUAUUCCCGUACUUGGUGUUACUGCGAAGGGGGGACGGAGAAGGCUAUGUUGGCCGGGCGACGGUUGUCCCGGUUUAAGCGUGUAGGUGUGUGUUCCAGGUAAAUCCGGUU
rnacentral:rRNA from 1 species